rnacentral:rRNA from 1 species
CAAGGCCGAGAGACGAGACGAACAGACUACGGUCUGGAAGUCAUCGAUGCCACGCUUCCAGGAAAAGCCUCUAAGCUUCAGAUACAGUGGGACCGUACCCCAAACCGACACAGGUGGUCAGGUAGAGAAUACCAAGGCGCUUGAGAGAACUCGGGUGAAGGAACUAGGCAAAAUGGUGCCGUAACUUCGGGAGAAGGCACGCCGGCGUAGGGUGAUGGGACUUGCUCCCCGAGCCCGAACCGGUCGAAGAUACCAGGUGGCUGCAACUGUUUAUUAAAAACACAGCACUCUGCAAACGCGCAAGCGGACGUAUAGGGUGUGACGCCUGCCCGGUGCCGGAAGGUUAAGUGAUGGUGUUAGGUUCGCCGAAGCUCCUGAUCGAAGCCCCGGUAAACGGCGGCCGUAACUAUAACGGUCCUAAGGUAGCGAAAUUCCUUGUCGGGUAAGUUCCGACCUGCACGAAUGGCGUAAUGAUGGCCACGCUGUCUCCACCCGAGACUCAGUGAAAUUGAAAUCGCAGUGAAGAUGCUGUGUACCCGCGGCUAGACGGAAAGACCCCGUGAACCUUUACUACAGCUUCACACUGGACGCUGAUGUUGCUUGUGUAGGAUAGCUGGGAGGCUUGGAAACCCGGACGCCAGUUCGGGUGGAGCCAACCUUGAAAUACCAGCCUGGCAUCAUUGGCGUUCUAACUCAGGUCCGUGAUCCGGAUCGAGGACCGUGUGUGGUGGGUAGUUUGACUGGGGCGGUCUCCUCCCAAAGCGUAACGGAGGAGCACGAAGGUACCCUCAGCACGGUUGGAAAUCGUGCAAUGAGUGCAAGAGCAUAAGGGUGCUUGACUGCGAGACAGACACGUCGAGCAGGUACGAAAGUAGGUUCUAGUGAUCCGGUGGUUCUGUAUGGAAGGGCCAUCGCUCAACGGAUAAAAGGUACUCCGGGGAUAACAGGCUGAUACCGCCCAAGAGUUCACAUCGACGGCGGUGUUUGGCACCUCGAUGUCGGCUCAUCACAUCCUGGGGCUGAAGUCGGUCCCAAGGGUAUGGCUGUUCGCCAUUUAAAGUGGUACGCGAGCUGGGUUUAGAACGUCGUGAGACAGUUCGGUCCCUAUCUGCCGUGGGCGUUGGAGAUUUGAGAAGAGCUGCUCCUAGUACGAGAGGACCGGAGUGGACGCACCUCUGGUGUUCCGGUUGUCACGCCAGUGGCAUUGCCGGGUAGCUAUGUGCGGACAGGAUAACCGCUGAA